rnacentral:rRNA from 1 species
CCCUUAGAUGUUCUGGGCUGCACACGUGCUACACUGGCAGGUUCAGCGAGCUUCAUGCCCUGAUCUGAAAUGAAUGGGAAAUCUUUUCAAAACCUGCCGUGCUUGGGAUAGAUGUUUGCAAUUAUUCAUCUUCAACGAGGAUUGCCUUGUAAGCGCACGUCAUCAGCGUGCAUUGAAUACGACCCUGUAUUCUGUACACACCGCCCGUCGCUCCUACCGAUUGAAGUUUUCGGUGAGUUGACAGGAGGAUUUUUUUGAAACUGGUUCGCCAGUGGAUUUUAGAUCCAAAUGCCAACGAAUCGAUGGCUUUAGAGGAAGGAGAAGUCGUAACA